rnacentral:rRNA from 1 species
AGUGAACGCUGGCGGUAGGCCUAACACAUGCAAGUCGAACGGCAGCACAGGAGAGCUUGCUCUCUGGGUGGCGAGUGGCGGACGGGUGAGGAAUACAUCGGAAUCUACCUUUUCGUGGGGGAUAACGUAGGGAAACAUACGCUAAUACCGCAUACGACCUACGGGUGAAAGUGGGGGACCGCAAGGCCUCACGCGAUUAGAUGAGCCGAUGUCCGAUUAGCUAGUUGGCGGGGUAAUGGCCCACCAAGGUGACGAUCGGUAGCUGGUAUGAGAGGAUGAUCAGCCACACUGGAACUGAGACACGGUCCAGACUCCUACGGGAGGCAGCAGUGGGGAAUAUUGGACAAUGGGCGCAAGCCUGAUCCAGCCAUACCGCGUGGGUGAAGAAGGCCUUCGGGUUGUAAAGCCCUUUUGUUGGGAAAGAAAUCCUGUCGAUUAAUACUCGGUGGGGAUGACGGUACCCAAAGAAUAAGCACCGGCUAACUUCGUGCCAGCCGCCGCCGUAAUAC